CCUACGGGAGGCAGCAGUGGGGAAUAUUGCACAAUGGGCGCAACCCUGAUGCAGCGACGCCGCGUGAGUGAAGAAGGAUUUCGGUUUGUAAAGCUCUAUCAGCAGGGAAGAAGCAAGACGGUAGCAGACUAAGCAGCCCUGGCUAUCUACGUGCAAGCAGCCGCGGCAAUACGUAGGGGGCAAGCGUUAUCCGGACUUACUGGGUGUAAAGGGAGCGUAGACGGUAUGGCAAGUCUGAGGUGAAAGCCCAGGGCUUAACCCUGGGACUGCUUUGGAAACUGUUAGACUAGAGUGCUGGAGAGGUAAGUGGAAUUCCAAGUGUAGCGGUGAAAUGCGUAGAUAUUAGGAGGAACACCAGUGGCGAAGGCGGCUUACUGGACAGUAACUGACGUUGAGGCUCGAAAGCGUGGGGAGCAAACAGGAUUAGAUACCCGAGUAGUC
rnacentral:rRNA from 1 species